rnacentral:tRNA from 1 species
GGAGAGAUGUCUGAGUGGUCGAAAGAGAUGCUCUCGAAAAGCAUUAUCCGGGAAACCGGAUCGAGGGUUCGAAUCCCUCUCUCUCCG